UGGGGCAUAUUGCACAAUGGGCGCAAGCCUGAUGCAGCCAUGCCGCGUGUAUGAAGAAGGCCUUCGGGUUGUAAAGUACUUUCAGCGGGGAGGAAGGCGAUAAGGUUAAUAACCUUGUCGAUUGACGUUACCCGCAGAAGAAGCACCGGCUAACUCCGUGCCAGCAGCCGCGGUAAUACGGAGGGUGCAAGCGGUAAUCGGAAUUACUGGGCGUAAAGCGCACGCAGGCGGUCUGUCAAGUCGGAUGUGAAAUCCCCGGGCUCAACCUGGGAACUGCAUUCGAAACUGGCAGGCUAGAGUCUUGUAGAGGGGGGUAGAAUUCCAGGUGUAGCGGUGAAAUGCGUAGAGAUCUGGAGGAAUACCGGUGGCGAAGGCGGCCCCCUGGACAAAGACUGACGCUCAGGUGCGAAAGCGUGGGGAGCAAACA
rnacentral:rRNA from 1 species